rnacentral:rRNA from 1 species
UACUUAGUGGCAGACGGGUGAGUAACAUGUGGGUAUCUACCCUUUGGCCUGGAAUAACACGAGGAAACUUGUGCUAAUACCGGAUAAGUCUUUACGGAGAAAGCUUUAUGCACCAUUGGAUGAGCCCGCACUUGAUUAGUUUGUUGGUAGGGUAAUGGCCUACCAAGACUAUGAUCAAUAGCUGAUUUGAGAGGAUGAUCAGCCACAUUGGGACUGAGACACGGCCCAAACUCCUACGGGAGGCAGCAGUGGGGAAUCUUGCACAAUGGAGGAAACUCUGAUGCAGCGAUGCCGCGUGAGUGAAGAAGGCCUUUGGGUUGUAAAGCUCUUUCGUCGGGGAAGAAAAUGACUGUACCCGAAUAAGAAGGUCCGGCUAACUUCGUGCCAGCAGCCGCGGUAAUACGAAGGGACCUAGCGUAGUUCGGAAUUACUGGGCUUAAAGAGUUCGUAGGUGGUUGAAAAAGUUGGUGGUGAAAUCCCAGAGCUUAACUCUGGAACUGCCAUC